GUGAAUUUAAUUUAAAGAUAAAAUGUUUAACUUGCAAUUAAAAAAUUCGAGUUUAAUUCUCGAAAUUCACA
rnacentral:tRNA from 1 species